UAUGUUCACAAUUAAUUUAGAAGACAUAUAUAUAUAAACAGUCCAGGAUUGGUUGAUUUAUUUGCUUUUUUACUAGCGACCUAGUUGUCAAAGUUGAUCGGACCUAUUUCAAACCCUUGGAAGGUUCAGAUUUUAUUUUGCUUAUAUUUUUUUUCGUGGCCAUAUUUUGCCAAAAAAUGGAUAAAAAAGAUACUUGUAAGACUGAAAAAAAAUUCGUUUGAUCUUUUGAUCCCCGUCCUAAGACACUAAAUUCGGAAAAGUUGAUAUAAAAUGAAUUUGUAAAUUAAAAACAAAACAAAAUUUUUUUGUUUUGUUUUGAAAAUUCGAGUCCCAUAAAACUCGUUUUUUGUCCAUAAAUAAAACCAUUCAAUAUUCAAAAAAAAUAUUUUUUUUAUAGUAUUCUGUGUCUUGAGACGCAUCUUUUGAUAUCCAUAUAGAUAUAUUUAUAUUUUUUUCGUUUUUAUCUGGGAUUUGUUUAAUCUAUUAAUUCUUUAAAAUGGAUCUUAUCCCGCCAUUUGUUUUUGUGAUGUUUUUAGAAUUUAGAACUUAGAAUUGGUUUAUAAAUCGACCAAGGACCAAAAAUUUGCGGAAACGGAUCGAAAAAAACAGGGAACUGACCAACAAACUGAAAAUUUUUAACUUUUUAAAAUCCGGAACCCUUAAAAAAUAAGUUUUGAGGGGAUUUCCGAUUAGUUUUGUAAAAACACUAAACUCCUCAAAAGAUUCCAUUUUGGGGAGGUUUCCGUUUUUUUUGGUUCGUUUCCGUGUGGAGGCGUUUCCAUAGCACCUCUCCUUUAUGUGUUUAUGUUCUAUCUAUAUAUAUAGUAAGGCGGAAACAGUUACGUGAGGAGAAGACUUUUCAAAUUUCAAUGGGAAGGAAUCCCCAAGAAGACUAAUAUGAAGAAUCUGGGAAGAAAAGAGGGAGACGAGUAAUCUGGGUUUAAUUCUUUAUAAUUCAACAACGGGUGGAGAGAAUCCGGGUUAUAGAUCUGAGUCUCUGUUCCUUUGGUUUAGAUUUUUCAAGAUAUUUAUAGUUACUAUAAACAAACCAGGAACAACUUA